rnacentral:rRNA from 1 species
AGAUUGAACGCUGGCGGGAUGCUUUACACAUGCAAGUCGGACGGCAGCACGGGCUUCGGCCUGGUGGCGAGUGGCGAACGGGUGAGUAAUGUAUCGGAACGUGCCCAGUAGCGGGGGAUAACUACGCGAAAGCGUGGCUAAUACCGCAUACGCCCUACGGGGGAAAGCGGGGGACCUUCGGGCCUCGCACUAUUGGAGCGGCCGAUAUCGGAUUAGCUAGUUGGUGGGGUAACGGCCUACCAAGGCGACGAUCCGUAGCUGGUUUGAGAGGACGACCAGCCACACUGGGACUGAGACACGGCCCAGACUCCUACGGGAGGCAGCAGUGGGGAAUUUUGGACAAUGGGGGCAACCCUGAUCCAGCCAUCCCGCGUGUGCGAUGAAGGCCUUCGGGUUGUAAAGCACUUUUGGCAGGAAAGAAACGGCACGGGCUAAUAUCCUGUGCAACUGACGGUACCUGCAGAAUAAGCACCGGCUAACUACGUGCCAGCAGCCGCGGUAAUACGUAGGGUUCGCCAAACCCCGCGAGGGGGGGAGC